ACACACCGCCCGUCACUCUCCCCAAGUCUUAUAAUAAUUAUAUUUAUAAUAAUCCCCACUAGCAAAGGGGAGGCAAGUCGUAACAUGGUAAGUGUACCGGAAGGUGUACUUGGAUAAAUCAAGAUGUAGCUAAAACAGUAAAGCAUCUCUCUUAC
rnacentral:rRNA from 1 species